rnacentral:lncRNA from 1 species
AAAGAAGGCGGGUUGCAAAUGUCGUGUGAUUUCAGUGGCCUAGCCACUUUUUUUUGUCUUUUGUAACAUUUUGAGGAGAUGUUAUUGCAACCUUUCAAUACAUAAAGAGGGCUUAUAAGAAAGAUGGAUUGAGACUUUUUAUCAGGGCCUGUAGUGGUAGGAAAGGGAUAACAGUUUUAAAUUGAAAGAGGGUAGCUUUAGAUUAGAUAUAAAGAAGAAAUUCUUAACUGUGAGGGUGUGUUACUGGCACAGGUUGCUCAGAGAAGCUGUGGCUGCCCCAUCUCUAGAGGUGUUCAAGACCAGGCUUGAUGGAGCUUUGAGUAACCUGCUCUGGUGGGAGGUGUCCCUGCCCAUGGCAGGGGGGUGGGAACUCAAUCCAACCCAAACCAUCCUGUGAUUCUGUAAUUGAGAUUCUAUCUUAUCUGUUUCAUUUUAGAUGAUUCAGUGCUAUGUAAAUACACAAUUGAAAACCCAGAAGAAAAGACGUACACCGUGAAACACCUCUUGCCCAACACAAAAUACAAACUAGUGGUUAAAGCCUACACAGGUGGAGGAGAGACUCCCAUUGUUAACUUUAGAUACAUAGACACACCGUUUAACUCAAACAUGCUGUACCUUCUAGUCCUGCUAGUGAUAGUUCCAUCACUAGUAGCAGCUCUAUGCCGCUGGAAGAUGAAGUGGGUGAAGGAGUGCUGCUGUCCUGUUAUACCUAGUCCUAGCAAGAGCAAAGCACUGUCAUUCAAAGAGUUUAAGAUUGGUUCUGAGAAGGUAUUGAAAAUAAGUGACUGCGUUCCUGACGUGCUGGCAGUGGACAAUAAGGCUGAAGCCCAGAAAUUCCACCCAUGGAGCCAGUUGUCUUCAACGUCAACAGCAGAUCAGAGUGAUGGUGACAAUUCUUCCUGGAUUUACCCUAGUGACAAUGAAGAGAGAGACCCUGCACCCACACCGACACCUCAGACUCACACUUGGUUUGAAAAUUUUGCUUAUUCUUCUCAUCUUGCAGUUGAAUCCAAUGUCUAUCAAACACCAGAGACACGAGCUGGAAGCAAACCAGACCCGUCAGUGGUGCUGUACCAGCCACAAUACUACUUUGAUAUUUUAAAUGGAGGUGCUGGCUCAACAUCCAGAGACACAGCUGGCAGAAAGACCAGUCUGAGGUACGUUUCACAGACAGCUGUGCACUGCCUGGGGAGGAGGCUUUGA